CCCUUAGAUGUUCUGGGCCGCACACGCGCUACACUGAAGGAGGCAGCGUGUACUCCUGGAUCGAAAGAUUUGGGUAACCCGCGAAUCUCCUUCGUGCUAGGGAUUGAGGUUUGCAAUUAUCCUUCAUGAACGAGGAAUUCCCAGUAAGUGCAAGUCAUAAGCUCGCGCUGACUACGUCCCUGCCCUUUGUACACACCGCCCGUCGCUACUACCGAUUGAAUGAUUUAGUGAGGACUUCGGACUGGGACCGAUGCGGCUUUCGGGCUGCGUCGGUAUUCUGGAAAGAUGUCCAAACUGUAUCAUUUAGAGGAAGUAAAANUCGUAACA
rnacentral:rRNA from 1 species